AGCCACAGCCAUAUCACCCUGCAGCCCAAGACUGGUUGCCCACUGAAGCUAAGCAGGGUUGAGCCUGGUCAGUACCUGGAUGAGAGACCUCCUGGGAAAACUAGGUUGCUGUUGGAA
rnacentral:rRNA from 1 species